rnacentral:rRNA from 1 species
GUGAACGCUGGCGGUCGCCCUCACACCUGCAAGUCGAACGGCAGCACAGUAAGAGCUUGCUCUUACGGGUGGCGAGUGGCGGACGGGUGAUGAAUACAUCGGAAUCUACUUUUUCGUGGGGGAUAACGUAGGGAAACUUACGCUAAUACCGCAUACGACCUACGGGUGAAAGCAGGGGAUCUUCGGACCUUGCGCGAUUGAAUGAGCCGAUGUCGGAUUAGCUAGUUGGCGGGGUAAAGGCCCACCACGGCUACGAUCCGUAGCUGGUCUGAGAGGAUGAUCAGCCACACUGGAUCUGAGACACGGUCCAGACUCCUACGGGAGGCAGCAGUGGGGAAUAUUGGACGAUGGGCGCAAGCCUGAUCUAGCCAUACCGCGUGGGUGAAGAAGGCCUUCGGGUUGUAAAGCCAUUUUGUUGGGAAAGAAAAGCAGCAGGUUAAUACCCCGCUGUUCUGACGGUACCCAAAGAAUAAGCACCGGCUAACUUCGUG